ensembl:miRNA
UUCAAGUAAUCCAGGAUAGGCUGGUUCCCGCCAGCACGGCCUAUUCUCGAUUACUUGUUUC